GUACUUUUUUUUCCUCUUCAUUAUAUUUGUUUUGAUCAUGGAGAUGCAGAACUUUGUUGUCCACAAUUGUUUAAAAUUUGAAUCAUACUAAUAAAAAUUCAUUUUAUUACAACUUCUUGCUCUUAAUUUUCCUUUACUCACCGUCAAUAUUUUUUUCCUUUACCUGCUGCCUCCCUUUUAAAAUUUCUCUCUUUUCUCUCCCUCAACUUUUCAACUUCAAUCUGCUUCAUCCUCUCUCUCUCAUCUUUACAUCUUCAAUCGGUGUUUCCUUUCUCUGUCUCUCUCAAGCUUCAAUCUACUUCAUCCUCAUCUUUUUUUAAAAAUGGUGUUUAAAGUUCGUAUCUUUUGGUCCCAAAGCCCAGUUUGCAUUUCUUAUUUGGCAAUAACUUUGAGGAAGCCACUAGAAUAAUGGAUCAAAGAGGAGUCAAGAUAAUUUCAAUUCAAUGGCAGGGUCGACCUCUGCAGUCACUGCAGCUGUUGCUCGUUGCUUCUAUUAAUUUUUGUGGUAGGAGAAGGAAUCCUUUUACUCAAAAGUUCACAAGGGGGACCCAAAGUCAAUGAGCAACAAGGUUAAACCAUAGCAGCAAAUAUCAAUCAUUGUGGCUCCCUGGCUGGUGAAUAUUGUAAGAUGAUCAUACUUCUGCAAGGUACCAUUAUGUGUAAUGGCUAGAAGGGUAGGAUUGUUGAAGAUUUGAUGUUUGAGUGAACUUAUUUGGUUUCCUACUUAAAUUCUAUAUAAUAAGCAUAGGUAUCUGUUUAACUUAA